UGGUUGGCAUCUUCAUCUCUCUCAGAGCG
rnacentral:piRNA from 1 species